rnacentral:rRNA from 1 species
AGAGUUUGAUCAUGGCUCAGAUUGAACGCUGGCGGCAGGCUUAACACAUGCAAGUCGAGCGGAGAGAGGUAGCUUGCUACUGAUCUUAGCGGCGGACGGGUGAGUAAUACUUAGGAAUCUGGCUAUUAGUGGGGGACAACAUUUCGAAAGGGAUGCUAAUACCGCAUACGUCCUACGGGAGAAAGCAGGGGAUCUUCGGACCUUGCGCUAAUAGAUGAGCCUAAGUCGGAUUAGCUAGUUGGUGGGGUAAAGGCCUACCAAGGCGACGAUCUGUAGCGGGUCUGAGAGGAUGAUCCGCCACACUGGGACUGAGACACGGCCCAGACUCCUACGGGAGGCAGCAGUGGGGAAUAUUGGACAAUGGGGGGAACCCUGAUCCAGCCAUGCCGCGUGUGUGAAGAAGGCCUUAUGGUUGUAAAGCACUUUAAGCGAGGAGGAGGGUACUGGUAUUAAUACUACCAGGUACUGGACGUUACUCGCAGAAUAAGCACCGGCUAACUCUGUGCCAGCAGCCGCGGUAAUACAGAGGGUGCGAGCGUUAAUCGGAUUUACUGGGCGUAAAGCGUGCGUAGGCGGCUAAUUGAGUCGGAUGUGAAAUCCCCGAGCUUAACUUGGGAAUUGCAUUCGAUACUGGUUAGCUAGAGUGUGGGAGAGGAUGGUAGAAUUCCAGGUGUAGCGGUGAAAUGCGUAGAGAUCUGGAGGAAUACCGAUGGCGAAGGCAGCCAUCUGGCCUAACACUGACGCUGAGGUACGAAAGCAUGGGGAGCAAACAGGAUUAGAUACCCCGGUA